UACGGAAGGCAGCAGUGGGGAAUAUUGCACAAUGGGCGAAAGCCUGAUGCAGCUAUGCCGCGUGUAUGAAGAAGGCCUUAGGGUUGUAAAGUACUUUCAUCGGGGAGGAAAAACAAAACUAAUAAUUUUAUUUCUUGACGUUACCCGAAAAAGAAGCACCGGCUAACUCCGUGCCAGCAGCCGCGGUAAUACGGAGGGUGCUAGCGUUAAUCAGAAUUACUGGGCGUAAAGAGCACGUAGGUGGUUUUUUUAAGUCAGAUGUGAAAUCCCUGGGCUUAACCUAGGAACUGCAUUUUUGAAACUGAAAUACUAGAGUAUCGUAGAGGGAGGUAGAAUUCUAGGUGUAGCGGUGAAAUGCGUAGAUAUCUGGAGGAAUACCUGGUGCGAAAGCGGCCUCCUAAAACGAAUAACUGACACUGAGGUGCGAAAAGCGUGGGGAGCAAAACAGGGAUUAGAUACC
rnacentral:rRNA from 1 species